rfam:Vitis vinifera, whole genome shotgun sequence of line PN40024, unoriented chromosome 2, chr2
UUACAUUGAAGAGAGCUUUCUUCAGUCCACUCAUGGGUGGCAGUAGGAUUGAAUUAGCUGCCGACUCAUUCAUCCAAAUACUGUGUUAAGGACUACCCAGUAAAUGAUUGAAUGAUGCGGGAGACAAAUUGGAUCUUAAGCUCCCUGUGCUUGGACUGAAGGGAGCUCCCUUCACUGCAAUC